AGAUUGAACGCUGGCGGCAUGCCUUACACAUGCAAGUCGAACGGUAGAGUAGCAAUACUCGAGAGUGGCGAACGGGUGAGUAAUAUAUCGGAACGUGCCCAGUCGUGGGGGAUAACGUAGAGAAAUUUACGCUAAUACCGCAUACGAUCUACGGAUGAAAGCGGGGGAUUCGCAAGAACCUCGCGCGAUUGGAGUGGCUGAUAUCAGAUUAGGUUGUUGGUGAGGUAAAAGCUCACCAAGCCGACGAUCUGUAGCUGGUUUGAGAGAACGACCAGCCACACUGGGACUGAG
rnacentral:rRNA from 1 species